UCUUUUGGAUGAACAAAGAAGGUGGUUUCUUGAGACAAAACCUACUCCUGGUGAAGGUGCUGUGAA
rnacentral:pre_miRNA from 2 species